rnacentral:misc_RNA from 1 species
GAUGAAGAACGUAGCGAAAUGCGAUACGUAGUGUGAAUUGCAGAAUUCAGUGAAUCAUCGAAUCUUUGAACGCACAUUGCACCUCUCGGUAUUCCGGGAGGUAUGCCUGUUCGAGCGUCAUUUGUACCCUCAAGCUCUGCUUGGUGUUAGGUGUUUGUUCCGCCUCUGUGUGUGAACUCGCCUCAAAACAAUUGGCAGCCGGCGUACUUGUUUCGGAGCGCAGCACAUUUUGCGAUCCAGAUCAACGUACAGCGGCAUCCAAGAAGCCUUAUUUAACGCUCUUGACCUCGGAUCAGGUAGGGAUACCCGCUGAACUUAAGCAUAUCAAUAAGCGGAGGA